ensembl:lincRNA Gm26563 predicted gene, 26563
AGACAGGGUCUCUCUACACAGCACUGCCUGUCCUACAACUCACUUUGUAGACCAGGUUGUCUUCAAAUUCAGAAAUUCACCUGCCUCAGCCUCCAGAGUACUGGGACCAAAGGCAUGUGCUACCACAUCCGGCAGCAUUUAAUAAAACCAACUUUCACUUAAGGAAAAUUCUGAGUUAUAAAACAACAAUAAAAAAUAAAAAUAAAAGUAUUUAAUAGAAACUCACAGAGAGUAAACUUUUCCUUACUUAAAUAACUUUGUAAAUGACAGUUAUAAAACUUGUAUGGGGGCUGGUGAGAUGGUUCAGUGUUCUUAUGAUACAGAUAGUUAGGACUUAAUACAGCAGAACUCUUACCUGUACCUGUAAUUUAGGUGCAGAAUAGGGGGUUUGAAGCCAGGGCCUUGAUCACACUAGGUAAAUAUUCUAUGCAGCUCAAUGAUUUACAUUUUAAAAAUGUAUUGAAAACCAAUCACUUUCUUAUCUGUGGCAAAUUAUUGGGAAAAUGUGUUCUAAAUUGACAUAAGAUAAUUGCAGACACAUCUUAAGGUAGUAAACACUACAUAACAUUCUGCAGAAAUGUUAAAGACAAACUUAAACUCCCAGAAACAUGGUCAUAAAUAAAGUCUUUAGAGAACUUUACAUUUAAUAUAGGCAAAUUCUUUUUUUUUUUGGUUUGGUUUUUUUUUUUGAGACAGGGUUUCUCUGUAUAGCCCUGGCUGUCUGAGAACUCACUUUAUAGACCAGGGAUAUACAGAGAAACCCUAUCUCGAAAAAAAACAAAACAAAGCAAAACAAACAAAAAAGUAAGGUUAGAGAGAUGGCUCAGUGUUCUGAAGAUCCUGAGUUCAAAUCUCAGCAACCACAUGGUGGCUCCCAACCAUCUACAAUGAGAUCUGACGCCCUCUUCUGGUUUGUCAAGGCAGCUACAGCAUACAUAAGUAUAAGUUUUUGGGCCAGAGAAAGCUGGGGGUGACAGAGCAGGGCUGAACGGAGUGAGCAGCAGUUCUAAAAAAAUUUCAAUUCCCAACAACCACAUGAAGGUUCACAACCAUCUGAACAGCUAUAAUGUACUCACGUAACAAAUAAAUCUUAAAAAAAAAGAAUUAAAAGUAAAUAAAAAUUAUGUAUAUAUACAUGUGCACAGCUAAGAUAUGUGCUUCAGUGCAGACCCAAAGAAGCCAGAAGAAGGCAUGAGAUAACCGGAGUUGAAUUUUGAACCCAAUAUUGGUGCUGAUAACUGUUCACAGUAAGACCUUGUCUCAAUAAAUAAAAAUCAUAUUUAAAACUAAUUCCCAAUAAACCACUUUCAGUAAUUUAAAAAAAAACGUAGGUUAUAUGUAACAAAUAGUAAAGUUAGGCUCAGAAGUCUUGCUGGAUGGGGGUAGCACACACCUUUAAUCCCAGCACUUAAGUGGCAGAGUUAGGUAAAUCUCGUUUACCUGGUCUGCCUGGUCCCCAAAGAAACCUGUCUCAACCAACCACCAACCCCCACACACGGACACAAAAUGAGAAAUCUUGUCAAAAUCUCAUCUUUCUUAGUGGCUAUCUUUUUGGGUAUCAGUUCUUCUUGCUCUUCACUACCCACUAUCUAAAAGUUGCUGUUUGAUGUUCAGAUGCCUCAUUGUAAAAGAACUUGCUACAAAGCAUAACAGACCAAGUUUGAUCCCAAAACUUGUAUGAAACAUUUCUUUUAUUUUUGGUUUUUUCGAGAUAGGGUUUCACUGUGUAGCAUACUUUAAUCCAAGCACUCAGGAGGCAGAGGCAGGUGGAUUUCUGAAUUCAAGGCCAGCCUGGUCUACAGAGUGAUUUCUAGGACAGCCAGAGCUACACAGAGAAACCCUAUCCCAAAAAACCAAAAGAAGAAAAGGGGGGNNNNNNNNNNNNNNNNNNNNNNNNNNNNNNNNNNNUACAUAUUCUUUUAAC